rnacentral:misc_RNA from 1 species
AAGUCGUAACAAGGUUUCCGUAGGUGAACCUGCGGAAGGAUCAUUACCGAGUUAGGGUCUUAUAGGCCCGACCUCCAACCCUUUGUUUACUAUACCAUGUUGCUUUGGCGGGCCCGCCUCUUGGGGCCGCCGGGGGCUUGUAUGCCCCUGGUCAGUGUCUGCCAGUAGCCUUAUUAAAUUCUUUUAUAAUUAUGUUGUCUGAGUAUAAAUAUAAAUCGUUAAAACUUUCAACAACGGAUCUCUUGGUUCUG